rnacentral:rRNA from 1 species
AGAGUUUGAUCCUGGCUCAGGAUGAACGCUAGCGACAGGCUUAACACAUGCAAGUCGAGGGGCAGCACAGGUAGCAAUACCGGGUGGCGACCGGCGCACGGGUGAGUAACGCGUAUGCAACUUGCCUAUCAGAGGGGGAUAACCCGGCGAAAGUCGGACUAAUACCGCAUGAAGCAGGGGCCCCGCAUGGGGAUAUUUGCUAAAGAUUCAUCGCUGAUAGAUAGGCAUGCGUUCCAUUAGGCAGUUGGCGGGGUAACGGCCCACCAAACCGACGAUGGAUAGGGGUUCUGAGAGGAAGGUCCCCCACAUUGGUACUGAGACGACGGAACCAAACUCCGUACGGAGGCA